ensembl:lncRNA
AGCAUCUCUGGCUGUUGUUGACCUUGUUUUUGGAGUAAAACACGGUGGAAGCUGAAUUAGUGAGGAUGACUCCUGCUCCUGUCAUCUCUAAGCUCCUCACACAUCUUUACCUGCACAUGAGGAAAAUCACUCCUGUAGAAUGCAGUGGUUCAUCAGAACCUCUGGGGAUGUCCUGUGGAUUCUGUGGAUCCUGUGGGUUGCAGGGUGGGUCCUACCUAGACCAGGCUGAUCCUGGACCAUCCCACAGAUGCUCCAUCAGAUCUGGAUGUGGGGAGUGUGGAACCCAGAUGUUCAGAGGGAGAUGAUGCCACAUCUGGUCCAGCCGAUGGAAGGUCUUGAAGUUCUCCGACUGGCCUCGACUGAAGAUGGUCGUCUCACUGGAUUUAAGAUGCACAAUGAGGGACGUCUGCAGAGACUGAGAAAGAGUCUCACCACAUCCUGACAUGAGGAAAAAAGACUUUAUUGAAGACUACAAUGAGAAAAACUAUCAGACAGCAGACGGCUGCAUUCAAGGUGAGCUCUGAACAUUUGAUCUGGAACAGGAAUUCAAUAACGGCAGCAUGAGCUUCAUUUCAGUCUGUAGCUGCUGAAUUCAUGGAUGAAUCAUCUGGCACUGGAGAAGAAGACCAUCAAACAUCCACGUCAGCUGAUGGAGGUCCAAGAGUCUCACCAAACAAACAACCUACAGAGUGAAGACCUCGAAUCUGAUUGGACGGCCUCCUAUUCAGCCACAUUGUAGGCUGUUAGAUUGUUCCAGAUAAGACAAGUAAAAGAUACUUCAGAGCUGUUCUACCAUGAGCCUGACAGGAAGAACUCCAACAGCUACUGAAUGUUCCUGUGGUCCCCUCAAGGCUACAGGAGGAGCCCUACGAGGACGAGCCGGUCCACCUGAUGGCAGCCAGUCGCUGUGGUUCAAAGCCAACACCGACUACGUGGACUUCUACUGGACCACACGGAGGCCUUCAAACCAGACCAACAAGUUCAGCGACUCCCCGACUCGUGGGUCUGAGGACGCCACCGAGCCUCGACCCAGCCGGCCUCCUGUCUGUGGAUGUUUGAGUGCUGAGAGGUUUGUGGAUGCAUGUGAAUGUGUCUGUGUUGAAACAGCAGCUUUGGACUCAGUAACGCCGGGAAAAACCAAGAGCUCCUUUAUUUGUGACUUCCACUAAAAAACUGAUGAAAAUAAGUUUGCCAGGGUUCUGACUGAUAAUAGAUUAUUAAAUAAUGAAAAUAACAGUUUAAAUAUUCCUUUAAACAAUCCUUUUAGGUCUACAUUUCCUUUACACUGACUUCUUGGAAUAUGUACAAGUAUUUUGAGUGGACUAUACCAUUAAGCCCAACGUUCAAGGGUUCUUCUGGGAAUAUACCAUUAAACCAACCUUUUAGGUAAAUGUUCCAGGAUGUUGGGUAGAAUAUACCAUCAGAUAAACCUUUUAGGUCUACAUUGGAA